rnacentral:rRNA from 1 species
UACAUAGGGGGCAAGCGUUGUCCGGAAUGACUGGGCGUAAAGGGUGAGUAGGCGGUUUAGCAAGUCGGAAGUGUAAUACCUGAGCUUAACUUGGGUGCUGCUUCCGAAACUACUGAACUUGAGUGUCGGAGAGGAAAAUGGAAUUCCUAGUGUAGCGGUGGAAUGCGUAGAUAUUAGGAGGAACACCAGAGGCGAAAGCGAUUUUCUGGACGAUAACUGACGCUGAGGCACGAAAGCGUGGGGAGCAAACAGG